rnacentral:lncRNA from 1 species
GCGACUGCUCUGAUGGUUGUGUGGUGUUUUCCGGCGACCGAUUAAGCUGCAUGUGUUUCACCAUGUUCUUCGACGCCGGCGGCCUCUCUGGUCUUUCUGGGCUCCGUCUCUUGCUCAUCUGCACUUAUAGAUCAACAAUCGAGAAGUUUGUUGAGUUGCUGUUGUAAAAAUCAUGAGUUCAUCACCAUCCCCGUCUCGGCAGUGAGUUCUUGGAACUGAGUUUGGGUCAAUUGAAGUUGAUUUUCGAUUUAAAAAGGUAUAAUCCCAACCUUGAAUCAAAGUUUUGUACUUGGUGAUAAUUAGAUGUUAAUCUCUGAAAGUUGAGGAGGAGUGACUUGUUGAAAUUAGGAUAACAGGGACUGAAUUGUCGACGCCCUAAAAGUACAGGGAGUGACCAGUAAUUUCCCCUUAAUGGGGGCCAUCAACUU